rnacentral:rRNA from 1 species
GACGAACGCUGGCGGCGCGCUUAACACAUGCAAGUCGAACGGAAAGGCCUGCUUUCCCUUGUGGAUUGCGGGUACUCGAGUGGCGAACGGGUGAGUAACACGUGAGUGAUCUGCCCCCAACUUGGGUAUAAGCCUGGGAAACUGGGUCUAAUUCCCGAUAGGACUGCAGGGUGGUGCCUGUGGUGGAAAACGAUUUUCUAGUGGUUGGGGAUGAGCUCGCGGCCUAUCAGCUUGUUGGUGGGGUAAUGGCCUACCAAGGCGGCGACGGGUAGCCGGCCUGAGAGGGUGGACGGCCACAUUGGGACUGAGAUACGGCCCAGACUCCUACGGGAGGCAGCAGUGGGGAAUAUGGCACAAUGGGCGGAAGCCUGAGGCAGCGACGCCGGGUGGGGGAUGACGGCCUUCGGGUGGUAAACUCCUUUCGACCGCGAGGAAGCCACCUGGUUGGAAGGGUGGUGACGGUAGUGGUAGAAGAAGCACCGGCUAACUACGUG